UGCGCUCCCGCCCCGCGUCCUCCGCCCGCCUCACGUGUCUUCCCUGCUCCCGGCACGUCGGAGCGGCUGGGCAGCGCGGGAACUCCCCGGGACGGCGCGAUGGAGUCGAGUGGCCAUCAGGCAGAGGCCCCAGGCCGCGGUCCGCGGGUGUUGGUGGUGGGCGGCGGCAUCGCCGGGCUGGGAGCGGCGCAGAGGCUCUGCUGCUGCUCCGCCUUGCCGUCCCUGCGGGUUCUGGAGGCCACAGCCCGUGCCGGUGGCCGCAUCCGCUCGGAGCGCAGCUUCGGUGGUGUGGUGGAGGUAGGUGCUCACUGGAUCCAUGGGCCCUCCCAGAGCAACCCCGUCUUCCAGCUGGCUGCCAGGUAUGGGCUGCUGGGGGAGAAGGAGUUGUCCGAGGAGAACCAGCUGGUGGAGACCGGGGGUCACGUGGGCCUGCCCUCUGUGACCUACACCAGCUCCGGGGGAAGCGUGAGCCUUGAGCUGGUGGCGGAGAUGUCCAGUCUGUUCUACAGCCUCAUAGACCAGACCAGGGAGUUCCUGCACUCGGCCGAGGCCCCGGCGCCCAGCGUUGGGGAGUACCUCAAGAAGCAGAUCCGGGAGCACGUGGCCAGCUGGGCAGAGGGUGAGGGGACCAAGAUGCUCAAGCUGGCCAUCCUGAACAACCUCUUCAACGUGGAGUGCUGUGUCAGUGGUACCCACAGCAUGGACCUGGUGGCCCUCGCGCCUUUUGGAGAGUACACAGUGCUGCCUGGGCUGGACUGCACCUUUCCUGGGGGCUACCAAGGACUCACGGACCGCAUGGCGGCCUCCUUGCCCACGGACGUGAUGGUUUUCGACAAGCCCGUGAAGACCAUUCGCUGGAACGGGUCCUUCCAGGAAGCCUCUGCUCCUGGGGAGGCGUUUCCAGUGCUGGUGGAGUGUGAGGAUGGAGGCUGCUUCCCAGCGCAUCACGUCAUCGUCACUGUGCCCUUGGGUUUUCUUAAAGGACAUCUGGACACCUUCUUUGAGCCACCCCUGCCCCCUGAGAAGGUCGAAGCCAUCAGGAAAAUAGGCUUUGGGACCAACAAUAAAAUCUUCCUGGAGUUUGAAGAGCCCUUCUGGGAGCCAGGCUGCGAGCGCAUCCAGGUCGUGUGGGAGGACCUGUCUCCCCUGGAAGACGUCGCCCCUGAGCUGCAGGACGCCUGGUUCAAGAAGCUUAUUGGCUUCUGGGUCCUGCCUGCCUCUGGGGCCUGCCACGUGCUCUGCGGCUUCAUCGCCGGGCUGGAGUCCGAGUUCAUGGAGACGCUGUCGGAUGAGGACGUGCUCCUGUCUCUCACCCAGGUGCUCCGCAGGGUGACAGCUGCUCGGUCUGGAACGCGAGAGGCUCCUCGGGCCAUUCCGGCGGGAUGCGGGUUAACGUGCUCGUCUCUGGUUCAGGGAACCCUCGGCUCCCCGCGCCCAGGAGUGUGCUGAGGUCUCGCUGGCACAGUGCCCCGUACACCCGGGGUUCCUACAGCUACGUGGCCGUGGGCAGCUCCGGGGACGACUUGGACCUGCUGGCUCAGCCCCUCCCUGCGGAUGGCAAGGGGGCCCAGCUCCAGGUGCUGUUUGCGGGGGAAGCCACACACCGGACAUUUUACUCCACCACGCACGGGGCUCUGCUGUCCGGCUGGAGGGAGGCCGACCGGCUCAUCAGUCUGUGGGACCUGCAGGCACAGCGGCCCGGGCCCAGGCUUUGAGCCUGGCUCUGCCCCCCUGGUCCCGGGGAGGCUGGCACCACCCUUUCCUCUGACGGACAGGUUCAGCUGGGUUGGAAUUUGGGGUGUCAGUGUCACAGGGGUCAGGUCGCUGCAGUACAGCCAGGGCUGAUCGCGAAGUCUUCCUGGAGACACCGGAUGCCACUGAUGGGCCUGGCGGAGCAUAAAGUGUGGAAACGCA